rnacentral:lncRNA from 1 species
AAAGUGAAUCCUUAGAUGUCUUGCUUAACAGGACAGGUACAAUCAGGACAGUUACAGCAGGCAUCUUUAAAGCAAAAUCGGACUAUGUUACAGAACCUAUUCCUGAAAUUGCAUUAGAAGGUCUAUGGCAAUGGUUUUACGAAGAUGAAUCUGGGACGUUGGAGCUUAUCUUUAGUCCUUACGGUGGCAUAAUGGAUGAGAUUUCAGAGUCUGAGACUCCUUUCCCUCACAGGGCAGGGAAUUUAUAUAACAUUCAUUAUGCAGUAUCAUGGGAAGAAGAAGAUUCUUCAACAUCUCAGAAGCAUAUAAAUUUUAUGAGAAGGCUUUACAAGUACAUGGAACCCUACGUUUCAAAAUCUCCCAGAGCAGCUUACAUGAACUACAGGGAUCUUGAUCUUGGAAGUAAUAACGAAGGCAACUACACAAGCUAUACACAAGCAAGCAGAUGGGCUCUUAAAUAUUUCAAGAAUAACUUCAACAGAUUGAUUCAUGUGAAGAGUAUGGUUGAUCCGCAAAAUUUCUUUAGACAUGAACAAAGUGUCCCGACUCUUUUACAAGGAUGAGGAAGAUGGAUGAUAUAAUUAAAUAAUGCUUUAUUGAUAGAAAGGACACUCAUACUAUAUGGGGUUUUAGAUUCUCUCUAAGUAUAAAUAAAAGUACAUCUGUUAUGUGUGUAUUGAAAACCGAAUAUAUCUUUAUGUAUUUUUCAAAAUAAAUAUAUUUAGAGAUAAAACUUUAUAUACGUGCCUCGAAUUAUAAAAAAAAGUGAAUAGUUUUUCAUCUCAUAAUCUUUAUUCUUUUUUUUUAAAUUCGAAUGCCAAAUUUGCAAGAUAGACAAUCAUUUAUAUACAUUCUGAGAACAUUUUCAUGGUAUACUUCUGUAUUUCUUUUAGUGAAUUGGGGUAUAUUUUUCAUAACAUUCUGCGGCAUAUUUUGUUAUAUAAUAAUGUGUAAGUCUAGAGUUGAUUUUUCAACCAAAGAAGAUUCCUACGCUCCAUAUUUUAAUUUAUGAUAAAUUUCAGUGCGGGCAGAAGUAUUAAUUUGAAGAUUCCUAUGCUCCAUCCUUGUCUAUGUUUUAGCCAUUGUUAAUUUCUCUCUCUCUCUCUCUCUCUCUACGCUCCUUAUUUUCUUUUCAUCAUAUCCAAAUUAUAUAAAACUUGAUUACAAAAAGAAACGUCAAACCAAUGAAAAUAAAGGGAUUAUAGUAAUGUACGUACACAAAUAUUGGUCAACAAUGAAAUCUAGACAUAACGUAUCUUUGUCAACAAAAUUAGGUGUUAGUAAAAGAGUAACGUAGCACAGGUGUUCACCUUGGGUGCUAUAAGAAGGAUGAGAUGGGAUGUCUGAAAAUCACUCCAGCACGAAAUCGAGUAACCCAAAAUGAAGUCGCCUAGCUUGUCAAUGACUCUGUUUCUUCAUGUUCUAUUCUCAUUUUCGUGGGCAAUUUUGGCACAUACUCAUGACAGCUUUCUCCAAUGUCUUUCCCUACAUUCUGACAUAAACGCCAGACUCAUUUACACUGCAAACACUUCUUCCUAUUCAUCCGUCUUGGAGAUUUCCGUUCGGAAUGCUAGGUUUUCUACACCAACUACCCCGAAACCUUCAGUCAUAGUUACGCCCUCCAACGUCUCCCACAUCCAAGCAACAAUUAAUUGCUCUAGGGAACACGACAUGCAGAUUAGAAUUCAAAGUGGUGGUCAUAACUACGAGAGUCUUUCUUAUGUUGCUCUAAUUCCGUUCGUCAUCAUUGAUUUGAUUAACAUGCAAUCAAUCGAUGUUUACACAGAAAAUAUAACAUCCAUUAUGGAGUAGCAUGGCAAGAAGAUGCUUCAACAUCUCAGAAGCAUAUAAGUUUUAUGAGAAGGCUUUGCAAGUACAUGGAACCCUACGUUUCAAAAUCUCCCAGAGCAGCUUACAUGAACAACAGGGAUCUUGACCUUGGAAGUAAUAACAAAGGCAAUUACACGAGCUAUAGACAAGCAAGCAGAUGGGGCCUUAAAUAUUUCAACAAUAACUUUAACAAAUUGAUUCAUGUGAAGAGUAUGGUUGAUCUGCAAAAUUUCUUUAGACAUGAACAAAGCAUCCCAUCGUUUUUGUGAGAAUGAGGAAGGUAAAAGAUAUAAUUAGUGCCUUAUUGAUUAUGGGGAUACUCACAUCACACUAAACAUGAUUUUAGAUUAUUACUAAGCAUAAAUAAAAGCACUUUAGUGGUUAGGUGCAUGUAUUGAAAAUUGAGGACAUCGUUAUGCAGUCUCUUAAAUAUUUACAUGCAAUAUAUACAUUAAAAAAUAAGAUUCUUUGCGCUUUAAGUUAGGUAAAAAGAGAUAACACUUUCUUAUCCUGUAAUCUUUGUCCCUUUUGCUUUCAAGAUUCGAAUUUGAGACUGACAAGAUAAAAUUUGAAGAUAAGAAUUUAUAGUUUAAUUGAACAAGAGGUAGUAAUUCAAAAUGUUUUUGACUAUCAAGAAUCAACUAGGUGUAAAUUUCUUGCAGCAAUUUUUACUACAACAAAAUUGAGUUUUAAUCACACUUUUUUCAACGACAUAUAUUUUUGUAUUGUGAAAUCUUAAAAAGUACAGCUAUUUAACUUUUGGUUUCAUUUUUUUCACAUUUAGUAGCAAUAUAAAAAGAUGCAACCUUUAUUAGUAUAUGUAAUUUCUAUGGUUACAUUUUAUUAAUAAUGCAUAUAAAAAUUUAUAUAGUAACGUUAAAUCUACAAAAUAUUCCAAAAAGUAUAUAAAAAAAGUGUUAUUAAAAAUAUUUUUAAUAAAACAUUUUAAAAAUAUGCCGUCUUUAGUCAAAUUUGUUAUAGUGUUAAAAAAACAAAAUUUCUAUCUUAAGCAAAUAAUUUUGGAAAUUAUGUAGUUUCCAAAGAGAUUUGUCUAUGUACUAAUAAUAACAAUAAGAUUUAUCUAAUUGUUAGUAAGCAUUCUAAUUGAAUCAAAUGACUAUUUUCCAUUGUAUAGGCUAAUAAGGUUUAUCUAAUUUGUAAAUAAUUAAGAAUUUUAAUUAUAUUGAAUAAUUUACAGAUUUAUGGUACAAAAUUUCAAUUAGUUCACUACAACAUUUUCGACCCUUGGCUGCAAAAAAAUUGCAGGCGCCAUAGGUGAAAAUUUUGCGGCUAAUGUAUGGAAAAGUAUGAUUGUUCUUGUUUAUGGGAUUCAAUAGCAAAAUUAAAGUUUAGUUGUAUAUUAUAUGACUGCAAUCUUAAAUCAUAUGGUAGCAGAUACAAUGUGCAAUUAAAAGGCAUAAGGUAAAGACACAUAUAACCUUCCAAUAUGCAACAAAUUGCACCAAGUUUUAUGAUAAAAACACAUGUUCCUUUAAAAUCAAAUUACAACAACUAAUGCCUCAAAAACUAUUUUCAAAGGUCUUUACAAUGUGUACAAUAUGAGAUUUCAUUAAGAAUGAUCAACAAAUUUUAGUAAUCUCACUCUCUUUCUCUCUUCUUCUCUUUAAUUCUUGUCUGUACAUAUUUGUUUGUCCAUUCUCCAACCUAAUAAAACCAUCUAACAUUAUAAUUCCCAACCUUCUUUACUUGCAAAGACUAAUUUGCAAGAUAAUAUUAAUUUACAAGUAGUUCAUUAUAUAAUAUAAGACAAAGCAUACUCAUUGACCAACUAACAAAAAUUUAUUUAUCCUCUUUGAUUUGAUUUGAAAAUAAAGCAAAAAAGGGAAAAAAAAGAAAGAUAGAAAAUUGGUAACUUCAUAAAUAGAUUCAUUAUUUGUCCUCUUUCAUAUUUAAGUCUCUUUUAGCAUGGUACUACACGAGUUUUAGAUUAUGCAUGUGAAGGACCCGACUCUAUUGAUCACCUUGGCUGGUGGACAAAACCAAGCAUUACCUUUUCCAAGAGGACUUCUCUCCACAAACGUCUAGGUGUCUUAUGGCAGCCCCUCAAUGAUGGUGAUCUCAAAUUCAACGUUGAUGGAUCUACUAAAGGCAAAUCGAGGUUAGCUGGUUAUGGUGGCGUCCUUAGGAAUUCAGACGGGUUUGUUGUUGGGGUUUCCUUCAGCUCCCUUGGUUGCCAAGAGUCUAACUUUGCAAAACUUAUGGCCAUCCUUUAUGCUUUUCGCCUCUUUACCUCAUUUCCUUAUAAUGGGUCUAACUUGAUCAUCGAAUCUAACUCAAAGGUUGCUACCUCAUGGACUAAUAAUGAAUUGCAGCGACCUUGGAAUUCUUGGCGAGUCUUAAUGAAAUUGAUGCACUGCUUCACUCACUUGGUCAUGUCACUCUCUCACACAUUCUAAGGGAAGAUAAUGUCUUUCCUGAGUCCUUAGCCAAGUAUGGGGUUGACAGGAAUUCUACUUUUUCUGCUUGGUGGUGAUGACGAUUGCAAUCUGCUUUCAAAUACGUUUUCUUCACAUUAUUUGCUCCUUUUAGUUUAUGGUGUGUUUGUUUUUGCUUUGAUGCUGUCACAAUACAAAGGAUAGGGGAAUCCUUUCAUUUUUGAUCAUUUUUUCUAUCUCAGUUUGCUCUACUUAUUUUCUGUUUCAUGAUGUGGGGACCUUUUCGACAAGAGUCAUCUUGUUUUAGUCUGUUUAACAGGCGGAGUCACUACUUUCCUUGAGUAGCAGUUACUACCUUUUGUAACUAUUUUCACUAUCAAUGAAAUCUUUGAUUGGCUGAGUAAAAAAAAAAAACAUUGAAGAUUGGAAAGCACAUUCUUGACAAGAUGGAUUAAUUGUAUUUCAAAAAGUCGAACUUAACCUCAAAGUUACUUUAGGAUCAUUUUUUUACAAAUUUUCUCUUGAUUUGUAAGAUUUGAAUGUAAGAUGUAUGUGAUACCCACACCAAAAUCGCAUAGAAAAACAAAAUUAGAUAAAUUAAUAGAAUUGAUGCACAAACAUAGUGACAAAGCACCAAAUAAAAAAAUGGUAAUAGACUAACAAAACAUAGGAAAUUUUCAUAAUUUAGAAAGACAUACCUUCUAUAGGCUUAGUUUCACAAGCAUAUAGAAAGCUUUUCAUCGACUCUUAAAUAUGUCUCAUUUGAUUUUCUCCCCCAACCAUGAAUUACAGGUUCUAAGCUCUGAAUACGAAAGUAAAUUUGUAAACUUGCUGCUAUAACAUUAAACAUGAUUUAUAUGUAUUGGAAUUACCAUACAUGCCAAUACAUAAAUCUUCAGGUAUAUAAGGUAGCAAAAAAUCACUAACUUAUGUCACUUCAUUCUUAAAUGGGGAUAUAUGCUUUGGAAUUUUAUUUCAUUUUCCUCACAUUCCAAGUUUUAUCUCAUUCUGUUUUCCUUUCUUCUCUCACUUUUAAUAGCUAAGAAAAGUAUUAUAAGGUUGAUAAAAUAAAUACUGGAUCUUCUUACUAAAAAAUACAAUAAUAUCUUAAUUCUUUUUUACUUAUAUUUUAAUACUUACAUCUUCGUCUUGGAGCAGCAUUUUAAACAAACAAAAAGUGGAACACAUGGAAUCUUAAUUAAUUAACACAGAGUAAAUGUGAAUUAAGAUCACCUCAGAAGAUUUUGCACUAGAUGUGAACUAAAGGGUAUCAUUAAGGUGUGAAGACCUUUCCUUAACACGUUCCUACAAAAUUAACAAAUAAAUUAAAAGUAUAAUAUUUAAAAAGCACUAAUAUAAACUUGAACUACAUAUAUUAUGAUCAAAAUGAAAAGAAAAUGAAAGGAUAAAGAGAGAUAAAUUAACAGCACUAUUGUUGUCAAUACCGUUUAAAGCAUUAAUCUCCAAUGCUGUUGAGUUUUAGCAAACUAUUUUAUCCUUGUUCUGUUACUCAUAUACUUAGAUGUCAUAAAGCACUCUAACAAAAUUAAUGGUUAAUAUAAUAAUGCAACUUGUCAAUACCACUCUAAAGUUUUCAUUAUUAAAAUACUAUGCCAAACAAAUAUAAAUUAAGAAAUAGAUUAAUAGAAGAAUGAAAAAAGAAAUGAAGAAAAGACAUAGAUAUUUGAAUAGCAGCCCAAUGCUAUUAAGAGCUUGCACCUGGAGAUACAUUCGAUUGAAGGCCAAAAAACUGAAAUUUGCUUUAAAUUAAUUAAAGUUGUUCUAUUGGAAAUUCAAAGUCAGGCCAUUCAAUGCAUUUCUGGUACUCUAGUUUGAUAUAAAGUUAAUGAACACCAUCUUUGCCUUGAAAAACCAAAUCUAAGAACUUGAAAAUUUAACCAAAACUUAAACAUUUAGAUCAUGCAGAGCUAUCAUCUACAAACUACAUAAAAGGUCUUUCUACCAUAAACUAAGGAGCUUAUUUUCUCUUCUUGCAGGAGAAGUUGCUUGCGUCGAUGCAAGGUAUUUUUUAUAGUUCCAACUUAAUUUAACUACUCUUCAUUUUAUGAAAUCAUGCUCAACUAUAAUCUUAUUGACAUCAUGGCAUGAAAGGCUAACUAGAUGUUUACAAAGACAAUGGUGCAAGGUUCUCAGGCUUUAUUCACAACUGGUGCUUAAAUCAAUAAAUCAUGCUCAAAGUCCCUAAUUAUCAUUACAACAAACCCUAAUCUAAACUUGAACUACAUAAAUCAUGAUCAAAUUCUUUUUUAAAAAAAGAGAGAGCAAAUAAAGAGUACCUGAAUCAAGGAUUACACAAACAUGUAACUAUGAGCUGAAACACAAUAAAAGCUCUAUUCAACAUAUAUAUUUGGUGAAGAAAUAAUGAAAAAAAUUAACAUAAAUUUGAAAAAAUAAUGAAGAAAGUUAACAUAAAAUCAAAAGACUUGAGAAAAUCAUCUUAAUAACUAAUCAAGAAUCUUUAGAUCCAUGCCAACCAAGAAUCUUCUUAGUAAGCAAACGGGAAAAUGAACAAAUCAUCCAUCAUUAUUAGUUGAAUGAAGAAUCGAAGAAUGUUUAGUAAAAUUAUCUGAUGAAAUUCUAUUCAAGAAAAAGAAAAAAAAAUAGGAUUUGGUGAAAUUCGAUGAUGAGAAAUGAAAAGUGAAACAAUCUGAAAAAAGUUUGGUGAGAAAUGAAGUAAGAGAGAGGAAGAGUUGAACAAUAGGAAAAAAGAUUUGUUAAAAUUCACAAAUGGCUGAUUGUUUAUUUGGGCUGUCUUGGUAAAAUAAUUAUAUGGGCCAUAGUUGUCUUUAUUUUGUGGGCUUGUCUUUCUCUUAUCAAAAUCAAUUCUAAUUUAUUUUAAGAUAAAUAUAUUUUAAUUUUCUUUAAGUGAUUACACUGUAAAUAGUGCAGCUAAAUAAAAAUGUAUUAAAUGUUAUUGGAAGAAUUUAGUUAUGUUAAAAUAAUUGCAACUAAAAUUGUGCAUUAAAAAGUAAAAAAUGUUGUAGUGUUUAUAUUUCAAACAUUAUAUUUUAGAAACAUUUGUAUUUAUAUAUAAGUAUUUUUAAGAUAAAGAUCAAUCAAGUAUUUUAUGUGAGUUGCAUGGGACAUUAUUAUUAUCAAUAAAAUUUAUCCAAUUUAUAAAAAAAAUUUAAUUCCAUCCAAUGGCUUUAAAUUAAAGAUAUCUAACUUUUAACUUAGUUAAGGUUUCUUUGUAUAUUAUCAUGUACAACAUUAAUUGUUAUCUAUGUAGGAGAUGAUAUGGACUCUUACCCACAAUUGUAAAGAGGUGAGACAUAGUAAGUAAUUUCGCAUAAAAUUAUAAUUGAGAUUUUUUUAUGAACGUUUAAAGUUUGUUUUUCGACGGAAUAAGAUUUUUAUGCUUGUAUCUUUUUCACAUAAAUAUUUUUCGACGGAAUAAGUUUAAAAUUAUAAUUUCGUAUAAAAUUAUAAUUGUAUCUUUUUCACCUAACGUCAAAUUCUUUUCAACAUAUCCAAAUUACAAGCAUUGGAGAAAAAGUAGAAAUGUACACAGAAAUAUUGGUCAAAGAGGUAAUUGACAGGAAACUUGUCAAUGGAAUAGGGCGCAAGAGCACAAGCAUUGACCUUGGGUGCUAUAAAAAGAGUGGGAUAGGAGAUCUGGUAAUCUCUCCAGCCAGUGACCCAAUGAAGUCGCCUAGCUUCUCAAUGCCGCUAUUUCUUUUUUUUGUCUUCAUAGGCAACUUUGGCCCAUACUCACGAGAGCUUUCUGCAAUGCCUUGUCCUACAUUUUCACAUUCACGCCUACACUCAAAACAGCUCUUCCUAUUCAUCCAUGCUGGAGCUUUCCAUUCGGAAUGCUAUGUUCUCCACACCAGCUACCCUCAAACCUUUAAUCGUACGCCCUCCCACAUUUAAGCAACAAUUAUUUUUGCUUUUAGCUCAGCAAGCAACCAUUAAUUGCUCAAGAAAACAUGACAUGCAUUUAUACAAGCUUCUUUUACUCCCCUGUUUCUUGGUAGAAUUGAUCAACUAAUCGCAUUGAUGCAAGAAAGUUUUCCAGAGUUUGGAUUAGUUAAAGAAGACUGCAUUGAAAUGAGCUGGAUCCAAAGUAUCCUCUACUUUGCAGAAAUCCCACAAAGUGAAUCCUUAGAUGUCUUGCUUAACAGGACAGUUACAGCAGGCUUCUUUAAAGGAAAAUCGGACUAUGUUGCAGAACCUAUUCCUGAAAUUGCAUUAGAAGGUCUAUGGAAAUGGUUUUACGAAGAUGAAUCUGGGACGUUGCAGCUUAUCUUUAGUCCUUACGGUGGCAUAAUGGAUGAGAUUUCAGAGUCUGAGACUCCUUUCCCUCACAGGGCAGGGAAUUUAUAUAACAUUCAUUAUGGAGUAUCAUGGGAAGAAGAAGAUGCUUCAACAUCUCAGAAGCAUAUAAAUUUUAUGAGAAGGCUUUACAAGUACAUGGAACCCUACGUUUCAAAAUCUCCCAGAGCAGCUUACAUGAACUAUAGGGAUCUUGAUCUUGGAAGUAAUAACAAAGGCAACUACACAAGCUAUAGACAAGCAAGCAGAUGGGCUCUUAAAUAUUUCAAGAAUAACUUUAACAAAUUGAUUCAUGUGAAGGGUAUGGUUGAUUGGCAAAAUUUCUUUAGAUAUGAAUAAAGUGUCCCAUCUCUUUUGUGAGAAUGAGGAAGAUAGAUGAUAUCAUUAUUUUUUAAUCAUACCUUUAAUUGUACGCCCUCCCACAUUUAAGCAACAAUUAUUUUUUCUUUUAGCUCAGUAAUUGUAUGCCAAGAGCUUUGGAGAUAUGUUGGAGUACCGACAAGUGCUAAACAUGUUAAAUCGAUCAACGCCCAUUUUGAUUUGCGUAUUUCUUUCCAUAUAUAGAAUUUUAAAAAAUAUUUAUUUAAAUUCUACUUGACAUUUCUGUUUUUAUCUUAAGGUGAAUGAUGGAAAUAUAUAUGUACAACGUUCAUAAUUUUAGUGAUCAAAGUGUAAUUUUCCGAAAGGUGAAUGAUCGAAACAAAACAAUUCGAAAAACUUUUGUGACCAACUGAAUAAUUUUCCCGGCAACUAUAGUCUAUAUAUGGACCCCGUGCAUGCAGUUAUUUCACGUGGAAAAAGGGUUUGGUAUGUUUAUCUUUCCUCAUGCCGUGAUGUAUUUCCAAAAUCCUUUGGUCUUAGGAUCUCAUGACGCAUUCAUUUGCUUCGAGAAAGGAAGUUUGUAAAACUUUUUCUACGAUAAAUUGCGAACGACUCUUUGACCUUUUUGUUUCCAAUGAUACAAGAGGAAUUUAAGACGUGUAAGUUAAUUAAUUUAUCAUUAUCUUCAAAUUGUACUUAUCCUUAUUUUGGAUAUGGGAGAGAAAGAGAGAGGAAAAUUAAUUACUAAAUAUGUUUUGAUAAAUAUUUGUGUAAUUUCCAAUAGCACUAUCUUUGACUUUUAAUGAUAAAACUUUGUGUAAUUUUCAAGUCUAUACUCAAGCAAUUAUAUAUUAAUUAUGUUUUGAGUCAAUAUGACGAUAAAUACGAGAUUAAUUGGUAGGGGAGAUUUGACUAUUUAUUUAUUUAUUUGGAAUUCUUGCAACAAGUUUAAGCUUCGACAAAAAUUCUUUCAAGCUAUUGGACAAAUUUAUAGUUCAAUUGAUCAAGGUAUAAAUUUCUUGCUGAAAUUUUAAACACAUGUGUUAGGGUUAACAAGAAUUGUCGUCCUAAGUGGGAAAAUUUGAAAGAAGAUAAAAGAAAAUUCUCUUAAGCAUACAACUUUGGAAAAUAUAUAGUUUACAAAGAGAUAUCUCUAUGUGUUAGCAUGUGACUAUUAAAAUGAAAGGGCAUUUACAGAUGAAAAAAUUUGUUGAUAUCGUGAAAUACCGAUUGGAAAAUUUAUAUCUAAUCUAUAUUUAUUUAUAUUACAAAAAUUUACAAAUAUUUAUAUUUAUAAUAAUUAUUAUUUAAAAAUAAAGAAUAAAAUAAAUAUUCAUAUGCAUUGCACGUGACAACAAAAGUAAUGAGAUAAAAAAUGUAUUUCUCGUUAUGUACAUUAAAUAUUUUGGUCAAAAACCUUCAAUCGAACUAAAAACAAUGUAUUUUGUUCAUUGUUUUGCAAUUGACAACGAUAUAUUCUUUUGUUUAAACUAAUUUUAUUGAAAGAUGAGACAUCGUAUAUAGUUUCGUAAAAAAUUAUACAAAACGUGAUGGCCAAGAGAAACGUCAAACUAAUGGAAAAUAAGGGGAGAAACGUAGAAAUAUAUGUACACAAAUAUUUGUCAAAAUGGAAAUGGAGACGCAACGUGUCUUGUCAACGGAAUAGGUUGCAAGGCAGGGCAUUCACCUUGGGUGCUAUAAGAAGCAAGGGAUGGGAGCCUGGCAAUCUCUCAAGCACAAAUUCGAGUAACCCAAAAUGAAGUCGCCUAGCUUCUCAAUGCCUCUCUUUCUUCUUGUUCUGUUCUCAUUUUCGUGGGCAACUUCGGCCCGUACUCACGACAGCUUUCUCCAAUGCCUGUCCUUACAUUCUGAUAUUAAUGCUAGACUCAUUUACACUCAAAACAGUUCUUCCUAUGAAUCCGUGUUGGAGCUUUCCGUUCGGAAUGCUAGGUUUUCUACACCAACUACCCCGAGACCUUUAGUCAUAGUUACGCCCUCCAACGUAUCCCACAUCCAAGCAACCAUUAAUUGCUCAAGGGAACAUGACAUGCAGAUUAGGAUUCGAAGUGGUGGCCAUGACUACGAGGGUCUAUCGUAUGUUUCUAAAGUUCCGUUUGUCAUCAUUGAUUUGAUUAACAUGCGAUCAAUUGAUGUUGACACGGAAGAAAAGACUGCAUGGAUUCAGGCUGGUGCAACUAUAGGCGAACUGUAUUACAGAAUUGCAGAGAAAAGCGCAACUCUUGCCUUCCCAGCUGGUGUUUGCCCCACUGUGGGCGUUGGGGGUCACUUUAGCGGGGGAGGUUAUGGCAUGAUGACGCGCAAGUUUGGCCUUGCUGCUGAUCAAAUAAUUGAUGCACACAUAGUUACUGUCGAUGGAAGAAUUCUUGAUAGAAACUCUAUGGGGGAAGAUCUGUUUUGGGCCAUUCGAGGAGGUGGAGGAGCCAGUUUUGGAGUCAUUGUGGCAUGGAAAGUAAAGUUAGUUUCUGUUCCAUCAACUGUGACUGUAUUUACAGUGAACAGGACAUUAGAAGAGAAUGCAACAAAGCUUGUUCACAAGUGGCAAUCUGUUGCAGAAGCGAUUGAUGAGGAUUUAUACUUCAGACUCUUUUUAAGAGCCGUGAAUUCAAGUCAAGAAGGAAAAAGAACAGUACAAGCUUCUUUUACUUCCUUGUUUCUUGGUAGAAUUGAUCAACUAAUCGCAUUGAUGCAAGAAAGUUUUCCAGAGUUUGGAUUAGUUAAAGAAGACUGCAUUGAAAUGAGCUGGAUCCAAAGUAUCCUCUACUUUGCAGAAAUCCCACAAAGUGAAUCCUUAGAUGUCUUGCUUAACAGGACAGUUACAGCAGGCUUCUUUAAAGGAAAAUCGGACUAUGUUACAGAACCUAUUCCUGAAAUUGCAUUAGAAGGUCUAUGGCAAUGGUUUUACGAAGAUGAAUCUGAGACGUUGGGGCUUAUCUUUAGUCCUUACGGUGGCAUAAUGGAUGAGAUUUCAGAGUCUGAGACUCCUUUCCCUCACAGGGCAGGGAAUUUAUAUAACAUUCAUUAUGGAGUAUCAUGGGAAGAAGA